UAUUUAUUUAUUAUUAGAGUUCAAGUCUUGAGGGACUUUGGGUGGAACUCUAUAAAUAGGGAUGUAACUGCUUCUUUUCGGUAAUCUAUGAAAAAUACUAUUGUCUUUAGACAAACCCUAGGAGGCCGAUCCCCUCGAAGUGAUCAAGGAGGGCCGAUCCCCUCGAAGAGAUCAAGGAGGGCCGAUCCCCUCGAAGCGAUCAAGGAGGCCAAUCCCCUCGAAGCAAUCAUUAUCAUCCACAUUUCUCCCUUUUCUUCCACGAUAAGAUUUUAGGGUCUUAUCAUUUGGUAUUAGAGCCUACGAUAAGACUUUAGGGUCUUAUCAUUUGGUAUCAGAGCGGCGAUCCUCGGCGUUCUCGUUGCAGUUCAUCAUCUCAAAAAAAAAA
rnacentral:lncRNA from 1 species